UACGGGGGGGGCAAGCGUUGUCCGGAAUCACUGGGCGUAAAGGGCGCGUAGGUGGCCUGGUAAGUAGGGGGUGAAAUCUCGCGGCUCAACUGCGAGGCUGCCUCCUAAACUGUCAGGCUCGAGCAGAGUAGAGGCAGGUGGAAUUCCCGGUGUAGCGGUGGAAUGCGUAGAGAUCGGGAAGAACAUCGGUGGCGAAGGCGGCCUGCUGGGCUCUUGCUGACACUGAGGCGCGACAGCGUGGGGAGCAAACAGG
rnacentral:rRNA from 1 species